UAUCUUGGUGUUUAGCACAUGAAUUUUUGGUAUUCAAGGUAGGAAAACUAGAUUUCUAAUAA
rnacentral:tRNA from 1 species